CGGGGAAUCGAAAUAACUCAAAACGGAGAUAAAAAGUACUUAAAAUUAAGUAUUGUGACAACACUUGCUUUUUGGGUACAAACCGAACUGAUCGCGAGGUACUUUUUACUUAAACUUGGCGUUAUCAACAAAGACUUGCUUUUGGGUGAAUUGAGAGUUGUUAUUUGUUUUGUUUUUCCCUAGCUGAGGAAGUACCCAAAAUGAAGUGCUGCGGUCGCACUUCAUUUUGGAUGAAAAUUUAUUGUGCGCCAUGUUUGUUUCAGAGUUCGACAGAUUUCGUUGUGAAUUACGUGCUUCUUCGCUAAACCCAUCUAUACAUCGACGCGCUACCGCAGAUCCCGAAGGCACCCGAGGACAAAUCGAACAUAAAGUUGAGCCGGUUCGAAAAUGGAAGAGAUUAGUUUCAGAACAAAAUCGCCGCAAAACAAUCGCAGGGCGGAACCAGAGCUGGAGGUGGAGCCAGAUAGGGCGACGCAACGUGACUACCGUGGGAAGAGCACAAGUUCCGGCUAACGGUGCCUCGAGCAAUAUUAUUUAUUGAAUUUAUUUUUUAUGUGCUCUUUAUGAUGUAUUUUUUAUGAAACUGCAAUAAAGUUAAUUCCACCUCAAUAACUUCCAAACAUCACUUUACAUUGUAUUCUGAAUUAAAUUUCCAAAAAAAAAAUCUUUUUUGUGAGACUAGAUUUUGGGUUAAUUUGAGCCAAAACGCACUGUUCUCAAAAAAGUCAAUUUCAUCCAAAACGGCCUUUUAGUGAAACAACUCAAAUUUGAGUACUUUGCGAAUAACUCAAAUUUGACUGGUUUUACUUAGCUGUCAAGAUGGAUGAAAAUGACUCAAUUUUGAGUUAUUUCGUUUC